AGAGUUUGAUCAUGGCUCAGAACGAACGCUGGCGGCAGGCUUAACACAUGCAAGUCGAGCGCCCCGCAAGGGGAGCGGCAGACGGGUGAGUAACGCGUGGGAAUCUACCCUUUUCUACGGAAUAACGCAGGGAAACUUGUGCUAAUACCGUAUGAGCCCUUCGGGGGAAAGAUUUAUCGGGAAAGGAUGAGCCCGCGUUGGAUUAGCUAGUUGGUGGGGUAAAGGCCUACCAAGGCGACGAUCCAUAGCUGGUCUGAGAGGAUGAUCAGCCACAUUGGGACUGAGACACGGCCCAAACUCCUACGGGAGGCAGCAGUGGGGAAUAUUGGACAAUGGGCGCAAGCCUGAUCCAGCCAUGGCCGCGUGAGUGAUGAAGGCCCUAGGGUUGUAAAGCUCUUUCACCGGUGAAGAUAAUGACGGUAACCGGAGAAGAAGCCCCGGCUAACUUCGUGCCAGCAGCCGCGGUAAUACGAAGGGGGCUAGCGUUGUUCGGAAUUACUGGGCGUAAAGCGCACGUAGGCGGAUUGUUAAGUGAGGGGUGAAAUCCCAGGGCUCAACCCUGGAACUGCCUUUCAUACUGGCAAUCUAGAGUCCAGAAGAGGUGAGUGGAAUUCCGAGUGUAGAGGUGAAAUUCGUAGAUAUUCGGAGGAACACCAGUGGCGAAGGCGGCUCACUGGUCUGGAACUGACGCUGAGGUGCGAAAGCGU
rnacentral:rRNA from 1 species